rnacentral:sRNA from 1 species
CAUGUGGUCCGGAGUCAGUGGGUUAUCCGUUAUGAGCAACUCUGAAAUGAAGCACAUGCACCAUUCUCAAAGGCACACUCUUCCCCACUGACACAACUUGACCACAU